rnacentral:rRNA from 1 species
AAGUUACGCUAAUACCGCAUACGAUCUAAGGAUGAAAGCAGGGGACCGCAAGGCCUUGUGCUCCUGGAGCGGCCGAUAUCUGAUUAGCUAGUUGGUAGGGUAAAAGCCUACCAAGGCAUCGAUCAGUAGCUGGUCUGAGAGGACGACCAGCCACACUGGAACUGAGACACGGUCCAGACUCCUACGGGAGGCAGCAGCGGGGAAUUUUGGACAAUGGGCGCAAGCCUGAUCCAGCAAUGCCGCGUGAGUGAAGAAGGCCUUCGGGUUGUAAAGCUCUUUUGUCAGGGAAGAAACGGUGAAGGCUAAUAUCCUUUGCUAAUGACGGUACCUGAAGAAUAAGCACCGGCUAACUACGUGCCAGCAGCCGCGGUAAUACGUAGGGUGCAAGCGUUAAUCGGAAUUACUGGGCGUAAAGCGUGCGCAGGCGGUUUUGUAAGUUUGUCGUGAAAUCCCCGGGCUCAACCUGGGAAUGGCGAUGAAGACUGCAAGGCUAGAAUCUGGCAGAGGGGGGUAGAAUUCCACGUGUAGCAGUGAAAUGCGUAGAGAUGUGGAGGAACACCGAUGGCGAAGGCAGCCCCCUGGGUCAAGAUUGACGCUCAUG